rnacentral:rRNA from 1 species
GAUGAACGCCGGCGGCGUGCCUAAUACAUGCAAGUCGAGCGAAUGGAUUAAGAGCUUGCUCUUAUGAAGUUAGCGGCGGACGGGUGAGUAACACGUGGGUAACCUGCCCAUAAGACUAGGAUAACUCCGGGAAACCGGGGCUAACACCGGAUAAUAUUUUGAACUGCAUGGUUCAAAAUUGAAAGGCGGCUUCGGCUGUCACUUAUGGAUGGACCCGCGUCGCAUUAGCUAGUUGGUGAGGUAACGGCUCACCAAGGCAACGAUGCGUAGCCGACCUGAGAGGGUGAUCGGCCACACUGGGACUGCGACACGGCCCAGACUCCUACGGGAGGCAGCAGUAGGGAAUCUUCCGCAAUGGACGAAAGUCUGACGGAGCAACGCCGCGUGAGUGAUGAAGGCUUUCGGGUCGUAAAACUCUGUUGUUAGGGAAGAACAAGUGCUAGUUGAAUAAGCUGGCACCUUGACGGUACCUAACCAGAAAGCCACGGCUAACUACGUGCCAGCAGCCGCCGUAA